UUGGUGAAGUCCUCCUCUCCGUCUUUAAUCGAGGGCUGUAAGGGGGCAAGAUUCCUGAGGCUCCUCCCCUCUGGGGCGGGUUGAUCCUCCCCCACUCCGCCUCCAUCUGCACAUAGGAGAAGCAUGGUGGAGCAAAUUCACCUCACCCUAAUUCCCAGAACGCUCAAAAACCUGGUACAAGAGAUUUCUGUUUGAGUCAAAAUGCUCUAGGUACCAACACGUUCUUUGUACCAAAUUACAGACCCGUUGCUUUUGAGUUUCCCUUCUGAUGCUGAAUUUAUUUUUUUCUGAAUGCUGGACCUGAAGCCCAUUACUGAGAAGUCAGCUUUCACCCAUGUCCCUUGUGGAAACUCUGGUUUACAAAUUAUAUGAUAAAUGGUAAGAAAAGGAGGAGAAAUGAAUGGCUGAAACAGGUGCACACGUGAUCAAACGUGAAUUUCACAGAAGGCACUAAGAGAGUAAGAUACUAUGCCACCAAAUGGAACCACUAAUCUGCUGGAGACACUGGUCAGCUCUUGGCAUCAGGCUCCAAAACCAAUCCCAGCCCUAAACAUGCCAUAUUAACAAAGGAAUUUCAUCUACUGUAUUUUCGGCUUGAGCCUGACUUCCCAAGUUUCCGAGAGAAUUAUUAGGAAAACAGUUUGAUAGCAAACACUUUAGGUGCAACUUCUGCAUUGAGGAAAAAAAAAAAAUCUAAGCCAAUUCAAAGGUGUAAAAAUAUCAGUCCACAAAAUACAGGGUUUUAUUAAUUCAGUGGCAUAAUGUAAAGUUUGCCUAACACAUCGUAUACAUGUGAAAAGCAAUGAGGCGGGGAGAUGCAUUUCAAGAAGCCGCUGAGGGUCGGGACCGUUUCUUGUGUCUCAGACAUCGGAUGUACCUGACACCUCCCUGGCCAGUACCUGCUUCUGGUCCCGAGAGCACAAUUUUUCUUUUUCGUUUAUUAGAACUGUUCUUUAUGAAUUGUACUCGACAUCACGAAACAGGAGACGGGAACAUAUUUGUACCUCCCUUUCCUUUUCCUGCGGCUUUACAACAAACGGUGUGGCCAGCGCCUCCUGGCCCUGAAUGCAGGUGGAGAGUCUUUCGUUUUUUCCCUCCUGUUUAUGGGCAGGAUGGUGACAAGACACCAGAUCUUCUCCCGAGGCAUCCCUGCUCCAGGCCUCUGGAUAUCCCAAAGCCCAAUCUGAUGAUGUGCCUCUAAACAUGAAAAUCUUUCCAGGAUAAGAUCCAACCUCCUCAGCGAGGGGCCCCCCCUUCUUCACGACCAGCUCCCCCGGCCGCUGGGGGCCUCCUCUCUCCCUGACCCUCUUGGAAGCUUCACCUCAGAACCGGCUCUGUUCUCUUCAUCUUCGAAGUGAAGCUCACUACACAUCUUCCACAUGCCUCCCCGACCCACCCUCCUGGCCAGGUGCCUAUAUAUAGCUUGCUUCCUUUUGGGGCCUUCUUCCCCGGUGUAGCUGUUGGUUUUCUUCUGUGGCCCUUCCUAGACCUGGAGAGUCAGAAUAGCACAGCCGAUGCUCCAUAUGUCUGCAGCUCCCUUCCCUGAGCUUGGCACGCACUGGGUGAUCAGCAAGGCAGACCUGUGGGCAGUGGAACAGAUCAAGUCACCAGCAAGGGACUGGUGACAGAAGACAGAGUGGCUUUGUGUUGUACGUGCCUUCAGAGACGGGGGUGGGGGGGCCCUUGUGGACAUGUGAGUGGGAGCCCGGGGGAGUGUUCCUGCCCUCCAUUAGCCCACGUUGCACUGCCCACGACCGGGAGGGCUCCCCACAAAUGUCCCUCCUUGGUCCUCCUGUACCUUUCUCUUCAACUCCCUGCCCUUCUCUCUUCCAGGGGCCCAAAGCAUUCAGGGAGGUUGGCUGGGAAUUGAGGGGAGGUUUAGAAAGGCACACCAGGGAGGCACGUGACUGUUCUUCCCAGACCGGCAUUUCGCAGACGCUGGCCCCAGGAGGCCGUGGGCAGAGGCGGCACCAUGGGAUUGGAUCAUGUCCAGGAAGAGUCCGCCCUGGCUGUCCAUCCCAAAGGGCCGAGGAGAGCUGCAGAACUCAGGAGCCUCAGGAGCCCCUGGACCAGAGAGACCCGGCCAGAGUGGAAGGAAAGAGACCCCUGCAGUCCAGCUGUGUGUUGUUCCUAGCUAAGUGAUCUGGAUGAGUGCCAGACGCAGCGCUGCUUUGGGGGGAAGCAGGAAAGGCCACGAACUAAAUGCUGCUGUUUGCAAAAAGCUUGCUGUGACCUGCCGUGUGGGUGCUGGCUGAUCGUAGACUGAGUCCUGACACUGGGGUGAAGCCAGCCAGGCCCUGGCAGUUGGGUUCUCAGAUGCUCCAGCCCUGAGCGGAAGGCUGGGAAGUAUUAUGGCUGUGCGUCACCUGCACACAACGUGGAGAUUGGCUACCUAAUUAAUAGCUGUCUUCCGGGAACACUGCCCCUGAAAAGGGUGUCCCGAAUCCAGGCCCCGCUGAAGGUUUGGAUGGCAUGCUUCUUCUGUCCCUGAAAUAAGCGAUUGGAUUCAACACGCCUGAGUCUCAGAACCAGCUUGGGCAGAGAAAAGCCAUUAUCUUCAGGAAGGCUGCAGGUGCAGAUGUGGGCUCGGGCAGGCGGAGCUGGACCCGGCCGGGAGAGGAGAAGGUUAACACAAAAUCCGUAUGGAGACCCGGCGAGGUGUUCCAGCUGUUGUAGGUUGGCAGAGAUUCACAGCCAGCAAUGAGCGAGGAAGUUUGGGGCCCUCGUGGGGCUCCUCUGGAAGGGUAAUGACGUCCCUGCUCAGCUUGGGGUUUUACGUGCAUCUGUUCGAUGGGAUGCGUGGGCACUGCCGUUGCCAGGCUGGAAAACAGUAACCCAGGCUGAAAACGUAAUAGAACGCACCCUAGGAGAGAGGGUGAUGGCUGGGUGUGAGAGCCACGGGGUUUUGCAACAGAGGAGAGGAGAGGGGAGCGCGUUGGAGACGGGAGAAUGGAUGAUUGAUGGCACAUUAACGUAUGCGCCAAGCUGAGGUCGCUGUUCGGGAGUCCUUGGAAGCGUGGUCUGACCGCCCAACUGUGGCUCCCACUGAGAAGCCCCUCUGCCCCCCCCGCCACACUGGCGGGGGGUGGGAUGGGGAGGCUGGGUUUGGGGGGGAACUGCUGGCUCUGAGCGCGCUCCGCCCACACACCAGGGCAGGCACCCGGCCCCGUGGCUCCCCCCCACCUUCAGUAACAGAGGCAGCUGCAGUGACCGUCAUUUCUCAGGGACUGCUCACACAGUGAUGUUAUUUCAUAAACAUAGUGGCCCUUGCUGGCUUUUAGGUUAGGCCGCAACGUUCUUGCCCCAAAUGGGCCCUACUGGGGAGCACAUCAUGUCCUCUGGAGCAUUUCCUGAGGUUGCCAUAACAAAGUAUUGCAGAUGGGGUGACUUCAAACAACAGAAAUGUAUUCUGUCGCAGCUCUGGAGGCCGGCAGUCCCAACGUCACGGGGUCCGUUCCUUCCGCCCUGCGCUGCUGAGGCCCGUGAUGAAGAAGGGUGUGAACUGGUCCCUGUGAGGAAGGCCCCUCCGUCUCUGUCGGUGGGCUUUCUUGUUUGAGGAAGGGGAGACGGGAGAAUGGCUCACAGCGAUGCCGGGCCUCAGUGAGGGGACGGCCUGGCUGUCUCAGUCCCGGGCCCCUGGACGCUUUCCUCCAGGUCUUGAGGUUGACUUCCUAUGACAGUCACUGAGUGUGUGCCCUGCGGAGGGGUUUCCAGAGUCUUGUCUCAGCGUCUGUCACAGGUGAUGGCACCCAGGUGUGCUUGGGCCGGCUCUGUGAGCAGCUUUCCUCCUACAACGGUUGCCCCACUUGACAGGUGAGAAAACCAAGGCCCAGGGAGCUCAGGAAGUUUGCUCCAGCUCAGUGGCAGAGCUAGUAAGUAGGCAAGCCAGGAUGCAGCAGCCCCAGGUGGUCAGCCCCUGAGCCCACUCUCCUCCCCUCCCCUCACACAGCCUCCAGCAAGGUGCAGGCAACUCUAGUGAGUGGAUGUGCACCUGUGAGUGUGUCUGUGAGUGUGCAUUUGCAAGUGUCUGUGAGUGUGCAUCUAUGUGCGUGUCUGUGAGUGUACAUGAGUCUGAGUGUGAGUCUGUGAGACGGUGCCUCUGUGAGUGAGUGUGCAUCUGUGUGUGUGUCUGUGAGCGUGUCUUCUGAGUCUCUCCAUUCCUGCAGUCAUAGACCAUAUUUCAUAUAGAGAGCAGACAGUGAAGGCUGAAUCAAAAUUAAGUCAUUAUCGUAUGAAUGAGGCUAGUUCUAUAAUUUAUCAUCGCCAUAGAUUUUCUAUAUUUCAAGUGAAGAUAAUAGAAUUUUCUGCCUUAAGUAUGAGAUGGGAAAUGUAAAUCUUGGGUCGGGUGAAAUGCACUUGCUGAGGAAUCUGGACAGGACGGGGGAAACCGCCAUCUGUAGUCCCAGUGUUCCGCAGUUCUGUUUUGGGUCUGAAUGGAAGAAGAUAAUUUUGAACCUUCGUACCUUCUCACUUCUCCCUGAAGCUUCGGCUCCCAGGGUCCUGUGGCCUCAGACCAUGGGGAUGCCAAUGCAGAGCAAGCAUGGACUCAUCAGUUUCACCACAAAUCCCACACCCCAGGAGCCCUUUUAUAGUGUCUGUCUGCUGCCUCAUGAGAGAAAUCUCUCUCCACUCAGCCCCAACCUUAUUUUCCUAAGUAGGUUUCUGUGAAAGAACUUUCCAUGUGGUACUGUUCACAACAUGAAGUGUAAUAAAUUGGACCACUUCUUUGUCCAAGAAA